UACAGAGGUCCCAAGCGUUGUUCGGAUUCAUUGGGCGUAAAGGGUGCGUAGGCGGCGCGGUAAGUCGGGUGUGAAAUCUCGGAGCUUAACUCCGAAACUGCAUUCGAUACUGCCGUGCUUGAGGACUGGAGAGGAGACUGGAAUUUACGGUGUAGCGGUGAAAUGCGUAGAUAUCGUAAGGAAGACCAGUGGCGAAGGCGGGUCUCUGGGCCUUACCUGACGCUGAGGAGCGAAAGCAUGGGGAGCAAACAGG
rnacentral:rRNA from 1 species